rnacentral:rRNA from 1 species
UACGAAGGGGGCUAGCGUUGCUCGGAAUUACUGGGCGUAAAGCGCACGUAGGCGGCUUUCUAAGUCGGGGGUGAAAUCCUGGAGCUCAACUCCAGAACUGCCUUCGAUACUGGAAAGUUCGAGUCCGGGAGAGGUGAGUGGAACUGCGAGUGUAGAGGUGAAAUUCGUAGAUAUUCGCAAGAACACCAGUGGCGAAGGCGGCUCACUGGCCCGGUACUGACGCUGAGGUGCGAAAGCGUGGGGAGCAAACAGG